rnacentral:rRNA from 1 species
AUUGAACGCUGGCGGCAGGCCUAACACAUGCAAGUCGAACUAGCGGCGGACGGGUGAGUAAUGUAUGGGGAUCUGCCCGAUAUAGGGGGAUAACUACUGGAAACGGUAUCUAAUACCGCAUACGAUCGGAUGAACCCAUAUGGGAUUAGCUAGUAGGUGUUGUAAAGGAUCACCUAGGCGACGAUCCGUAGCUGGUCUGAGAGGAUGAUCAGCCACACUGGUACUGAGACACGGCACAGACUCCGACGGGAGGAAGCAGUGGGGAAUAUUGCACAAUGGGCGCAAGCCUGAUGCAGCCAUGCCGCGUGUAUGAAGAAGGCCUUAGGGUUGUAAAGUACUUUCAGCGGGGAGGCGUUACCCGCAGAAGAAGCACCGGCUAACUACGUGCCAGCAGCCGCGGUAAUUC